rnacentral:rRNA from 1 species
AACGAACGCUGGCGGCAUGCCUAACACAUGCAAGUCGAACGAUACCUUCGGGUCUUGUUGCGCACGGGUUCGUAACGCGUGGUAACCUGCCCUUAUGUUCGGAAUAACUCCCCGAAAGGGGUGCUAAUACCGGUUAAUUUCUUCGGACCAAAGAUUUAUCGCCUUUGGUUGGGCCCGCGUUGGAUUAGCUAGUUGGUAGGGUAAAAGCCUACCAAGGCGACGAUCCAUAGCUGGUAUGAGAGGAUGAUAAGCCACACUGGGACUGAGACACGGCCGAGAAUACUACGGGAGGAAGGAGAGGGGAAUAGAGGAAAAGGGGGGAAAGGAUGAAAAAGCAAGGAGGGGUGAGAGAUGAAGGGAGUAGGGUAGUAAAGCAAAAUUAAAAGGGAAGAUAAUGACAGUAACGGGAGAAUAAGCACCGGCUAACUACGUG